rnacentral:rRNA from 1 species
AGUGAACGCUGGCGGUAGGCCUAACACAUGCAAGUCGAACGGCAGCACAGUAAGAGCUUGCUCUUACGGGUGGCGAGUGGCGGACGGGUGAGGAAUACAUCGGAAUCUACUUUUUCGUGGGUGAUAACGUAGGGAAACUUACGCUACUACCGCAUACGACCUACGGGUGAAAGCAGGGGAUCUUCGCACCUUGCGCGAUUGAAUGAGCCGAUGUCGGAUUAGCUAGUUGGCGGGGUAAAGGCCCACCAAGGCGACGAUCCGUAGCUGGUCUGAGAGGAUGAUCAGCCACACUGGAACUGAGACACGGUCCAGACUCCUACGGGAGGCAGCAGUGGGGAAUAUUGGACAAUGGGCGCAAGCCUGAUCCAGCCAUACCGCGUGGGUGAAGAAGGCCUUCGGGUUGUAAAGCCCUUUUGUUGGGAAAGAAAAGCAGCAGGUUAAUACCCCGCUGUUCUGACGGUACCCAAAGAAUAAGCACCGGCUAACUUCGUG